rnacentral:lncRNA from 1 species
UAUACAAUACACCGACCACCCCAUUUCAGAACGAACUUCGUACGAAACUGAAUGGUCCGAUUUCAAGGACCAAUCGAUAUCGGAUUGAGUCCAAAACUUGGGGAACAUCAUAAUAUUAUGGGAGGAGUCAUUUGGUGGGUUUUGAGUGAAAUCCAAUCUCUAGAACUAUACAAUACACCCACCACUCCAUUUCAGAACGAAUUUCGUACGAAACUGAAUUGUCCGAUUUCAAGGACCAAUCGAUAUCGGAUUGAGUCCAAAACUUGGGGAACAUCAUAAUAUUGUGGGAGUUGUCAUUUGAUGGAUUUUGAGGGAAAUCCAAUCCCUAGAACUAUACAAUACACC